UACGUAGGGUGCAAGCGUUAAUCGGAAUUACUGGGCGUAAAGCGCAUGUAGGCGGCAGCGCAAGUCGGGCGUGAAAUCCCACGGCUCAACCGUGGAAGUGCACUCGAAACUGCGCAGCUAGAGUCCUGGAGAGGAAGGUGGAAUGCUUGGUGUAGAGGUGAAAUUCGUAGAUAUCAAGCGGAACACCGGUGGCGAAGGCGGCCUUCUGGACAGUGACUGACGCUGAGAUGCGAAAGCGUGGGGAGCAAACAGG
rnacentral:rRNA from 1 species